rnacentral:rRNA from 1 species
AGAAUCAACGCUGGCGGCGUGCCUAACACAUGCAAGUCGCACGAGAAAGGGUAGCAAUACCUGAGUACAGUGGCGCACGGGUGAGUAACACGUGAAUAAUCCACCUCCGAGUGGGGAAUAACUGAGAGAAAUCUUAGCUAAUACCGCAUAACACUUACGAGUCAAAGCAGCAAUGCGCUUGGAGAGGAGUUCGCGGCAGAUUAGUUAGUUGGCGGGGUAAUGGCCCACCAAGACGAUGAUCUGUA